rnacentral:rRNA from 1 species
GAUGAACGCUAGCUGGAGGCUUAAUACAUGCAAGUCGAGCGGGAUUGGGUAGCAAUACCCAUGAGAGCGGCGCACGGGUGAGUAACGCGUACACGACCUACCUCUAACAGGGGGAUAGCCCUGGGAAACUGGGAUUAAUACCGCAUAUAAUUCUGAAUAAUAAAGGUUUGGAAUGAAAGCUGAGGCGGUUAGAGAUGGGUGUGCGUCUGAUUAGCUAGUUGGUAGGGUAACGGCCUACCAAGGCGAUGAUCAGUAGGGGGCGUGAGAGCGUGGUCCCCCACACGGGUACUGAGACACGGACCCGACUCCUACGGGAGGCAGCAGUAAGGAAUAUUGGUCAAUGGACGAAAGCCUGAACCAGCCAUCCAGCGUGCAGGAAGAAGGCCCUAUGGGUUGUAAACUGCUUUUAUCAGGGAAGAAACCACUGGAUUUACUCCGGAGCUGACGGUACCUGAAGAAUAAGCACCGGCUAACUCCGUGCCAGCCGCCGCGGUAA